rnacentral:rRNA from 1 species
UACGUAGGGUGCAAGCGUUGUCCGGAAUUAUUGGGCGUAAAGGGCUCGUAGGCGGUUUGUCGCGUCGGGAGUGAAAACACUGGGCUUAACCGAGUGCUUGCUUCCGAUACGGGCAGACUAGAGGUAUGCAGGGGAGAACGGAAUUCCUGGUGUAGCGGUGAAAUGCGCAGAUAUCAGGGGGAACACCGGUGGCGAAGGCGGUUCUCUGGGCAUUACCUGACGCUGAGGAGCGAAAGUGUGGGGAGCGAACAGG